GAUGAACGCUGGCGGCGUGCCUAAUACAUGCAAGUCGAGCGAACGGACGAGAAGCUUGCUUCUCUGAUGUUAGCGGCGGACGGGUGAGUAACACGUGGAUAACCUACCUAUAAGACUGGGAUAACUUCGGGAAACCGGAGCUAAUACCGGAUAAUAUUUUGAACCGCAUGGUUCAAAAGUGAAAGACGGUCUUGCUGUCACUUAUAGAUGGAUCCGCGCUGCAUUAGCUAGUUGGUAAGGUAACGGCUUACCAAGGCAACGAUGCAUAGCCGACCUGAGAGGGUGAUCGGCCACACUGGAACUGAGACACGGUCCAGACUCCUACGGGAGGCAGCAGUAGGGAAUCUUCCGCAAUGGGCGAAAGCCUGACGGAGCAACGCCGCGUGAGUGAUGAAGGUCUUCGGAUCGUAAAACUCUGUUAUUAGGGAAGAACAUAUGUGUAAGUAACUGUGCACAUCUUGACGGUACCUAAUCAGAAAGCCACGGCUAACUACGUGCCAGCAGCCGCGGUAAUACGUAGGUGGCAAGCGUUAUCCGGAAUUAUUGGGCGUAAAGCGCGCAUAGGCGGUUUUUUAGUCUGAUGUGAAAGCCCACGGCUCAACCGUGGAGGGUCAUUGGAAACUGGAAAACUUGAGUGCAGAAGAGGAAAGUGGAAUUCCAUGUGUAGCGGUGAAAUGCGCAGAGAUAUGGAGGAACACCAGUGGCGAAGGCGACUUUCUGGUCUGUAACUGACGCUGAUGUGCGAAAGCGUGGGGAUCAAACAGGAUUAGAUACCCUGGUAGUCCACGCCGUAAACGAUGAGUGCUAAGUGUUAGGGGGUUUCCGCCCCUUAGUGCUGCAGCUAACGCAUUAAGCACUCCGCCUGGGGAGUACGACCGCAAGGUUGAAACUCAAAGGAAUUGACGGGGACCCGCACAAGCGGUGGAGCAUGUGGUUUAAUUCGAAGCAACGCGAAGAACCUUACCAAAUCUUGACAUCCUUUGACAACUCUAGAGAUAGAGCUUUCCCCUUCGGGGGACAAAGUGACAGGUGGUGCAUGGUUGUCGUCAGCUCGUGUCGUGAGAUGUUGGGUUAAGUCCCGCAACGAGCGCAACCCUUAAGCUUAGUUGCCAUCAUUAAGUUGGGCACUCUAAGUUGACUGCCGGUGACAAACCGGAGGAAGGUGGGGAUGACGUCAAAUCAUCAUGCCCCUUAUGAUUUGGGCUACACACGUGCUACAAUGGACAAUACAAAGGGCAGCGAAACCGCGAGGUCAAGCAAAUCCCAUAAAGUUGUUCUCAGUUCGGAUUGUAGUCUGCAACUCGACUACAUGAAGCUGGAAUCGCUAGUAAUCGUAGAUCAGCAUGCUACGGUGAAUACGUUCCCGGGUCU
rnacentral:rRNA from 1 species